UACGUAGGGAGCGAGCGUUGUCCGAAUUCACUGGGCGUAAAGCGCGCGUAGGCGGAUUAAUAAGUUGAUGGUGAAAUCCCGAGGCUCAACCUCGGAAGUGCCUUCAAAACUGUUAGUCUGGAGGUAUGGAGAGGGAAGUGGAAUUCCUGGUGUAGCGGUGAAAUGCGUAGAUAUCAGGAGGAACACCCGUGGCGAAGGCGGCUUCCUGGCCAUAUCCUGACGCUGAGGUGCGAAAGCUAGGGGAGCGAACGGGAUUAGAUACCCGGGUAGUCCCU
rnacentral:rRNA from 1 species